rnacentral:rRNA from 1 species
GAUGAACGCUAGCUACAGGCUUAACACAUGCAAGUCGAGGGGAAACGACAUCGAAAGCUUGCUUUUGAUGGGCGUCGACCGGCGCACGGGUGAGUAACGCGUAUCCAACCUGCCCACCACCUGGGGAUAACCUUGCGAAAGUAAGACUAAUACCCAAUGACGUCUCUAGAAGACAUCUGAAGGAGAUUAAAGAUUUAUCGGUGAUGGAUGGGGAUGCGUCUGAUUAGCUUGUUGGCGGGGUAACGGCCCACCAAGGCGACGAUCAGUAGGGGUUCUGAGAGGAAGGUCCCCCACAUUGGAACUGAGACACGGUCCAAACUCCUACGGGAGGCAGCAGUGAGGAAUAUUGGUCAAUGGACGAGAGUCUGAACCAGCCAAGUAGCGUGCAGGAUGACGGCCCUAUGGGUUGUAAACUGCUUUUAUAAGGGAAUAAAGUGAGCCACGUGUGGCUUUUUGCAUGUACCUUAUGAAUAAGGACCGGCUAAUUCCGUGCCAGCCGCCGCAGUAA